GUAUUAACAUAAAGACAUUUAAUUCUAUGGAUACUGAGUACAUUUCUCCAUUAUCUAAAUGUUAAAGAUUUCAAAAUGCAUUCAUUUUGUUAGGGUCAGUGUUGGAGAUUCUCAUACAUUGGUGGGACUUCCAUAAAUAACAGGCUUUAUGUUGUCUCCCUUGUACAGACUAAAUGUAAUCAUUUCUGUGCAAGUUUUUAACCACCGUAGACUCAAAAUUGUUUUUUCCCGCCUUCUUUUGUAGCAGACGAUUGUGGUUUAUUUUGGUAGUGCAGACGAACAAGAUGGAGGCCUGGGCGUUAGUUAGAGCAUAGACUAUAUAUUACAUGGACUGCCAACUCUACGCACUAAGCCUAUAUUUUUCAAUAAACAAGUCCCGUUCACGGAGGCGUCCUUAGUAGCGUGGUAAAUUGACUUCCGGUAGAUUUUUUUUUACGUAUAAAGAAACCAUUCCCGAAGAUUUUUACCACCACUUUUACAGCAAAUCAUGAAUGGAAACUGAAUUGUUAAAGAAGAUGUUACAGAGGAGCAUACUACUUCCAAAAACCUGAUCUGAUUGUCACUAACUUUCAAAUUGAAAGGGAUCUACUACAACUGCUCAUGAAUUUCGAGAUUUUCCAGCUAAUAGAGGAACAAAUUUUAUCUGCUUCCACUUAGCCAAACAGCAUGGAAAUAUGCUAUUGUAAUGAGUAGAAGAUAUUUGUCAUUUAGAGUAUCAUGCAACAGCUAAUU